GGCUGGAUAGCUCUGUUGGUAAAUCAUGAGACUCUUAAUCCAGGGUCAUGGGUUCGAAUCCCACAUUGGGUG